GCAGCUGCUCUGUGGUGGUGAUUGGGUUUGCAAGAGGGAAGAAGUCAAGUGACUGGAAACUUCUCCUCCUGCCUUUGAGAACCAGCUUUAACCUGAACUGGGUUAAAACUUUGGUGGAAAGGACAAAUCUGGGAUUGGUUGUAAACCUUUGAAGUCUUCUGGGUGCAAAAUGAAUCAUAACCGGAUUUAAGAGGAAAGAAUUACUGAUCAGCACUGGAGGUGAAGCAGUUACAGCUCUGUUCAGAAAAGCCAGGGAAAUGCAGUAGAACUAAUCUGCCUGGACUGCAGCAAAAUGCUGGGCUCAGAGCUGUGCAGGACAAGAGCAGGCUGCAGUUGCCGACAGAAGGAUUAGAAGAUCCCGCAUGGGAUUACUCUCCUGAGACUUCCAAUCCAAUUUUGCAUACUCCAGAAUUCCAGAUAAGACUCCAAGCUUCUGGACGCUUUUAAAAAAUAAACUCUCCAACAUUUAUCAAGCUUACACCUUCAUGAGGCCUAAUGACACUGAUAACAUUUGUGCUGGUGGGUGUUCAUGCUCCAGAUCCUCAGGAUGUGGCCAGAAUAAAAGUUGUCAUUGGUGAUUGAGGGAGAAAGAGACCAAAUACUCUACUAGAAGUGCCUAGAAAAUGGGAAGCUAUACUCUGCUGCUCUCGUUUAAACAACAGAAUGAUUGCAUGGUGAAUUUUCUAAAAGAGUUACCUGCCCCUAACUCUCCUGCUGAGUACCAACCACUGUGCUAAGAAAAGGUUAUAUUACUUCCAGCAGACAUGAAGAUAAUACAGGUUGGGACUGGCAAUGCAGCUGAUUUUGGCAGUACUCUGAAAUCUGUUGUCCAUCCUAAAAGGAGGCUGCUCAGCUUUUACCAGCCACAAAGAGACUGAAGACAAGAGCCAAGAACUGGAGUGGCAUGGAUCCAACCCGAUGUUAUGUCCCCUUUUUCUUGUUUCUGUUCACAAUCCUGUUUCUAUGCAUACAGUCACUGUAAGGACAGCAAAGUCCAUCCAGUUUCACGCCAUUCCAAAUAUAUCUUUAUGCUGAGAAGACAUGCCCUGGAUUAAACUAGAGAAGAUUUUAUUUGGCAGUGGUAGCAUAGACACCAGAUUCUUGGAGAAUCAUGCUCACUAGGUUUUAGAAGUGACCUGGUUCUGUUCUGUAUUAUUUGAUGAACUAGGACCCAAGAUCUCAUGAAACUGAAAAGAAGCAAAUAUGAUGGGAGAGUUUUCUAAGUAAGGGUUGUAUCAUUAUUGGAAAGUAUUACCCAGCGUGGGCUUGAGCUCGAGGUCUGUGGAAAUAAUGGGCUUGUACUGAAAAUAAGAGUCCUGACUUUUCAGGUAAGAAGCUGUGCAGAUGGUUCUCAAUUGAACUAGUUGACAGGCUCCAGUUAACUGGAAGUUUUUCAAGCAAAAAUAUUUAUAAAGAAGAAAUAAACCCAUGACAUUAUGUUGGCCAACCUGAGAUUAGACAUUUUAAAGCUGUUCAUUAUUCUGUCACAUCCUGCCCCCUAGAGCUUGUACCAAAAUUACCAUUCUGUUCCCCUGUUACCCAUCAUAAAUUGUAUUUUAGAUGUUGAAAUCCAAAUAUGCCAAGCAGUGGAGCUUCACGCGGUCUGUAAUGCCAAGGAGAAGGCACUAUGAAUCAGGACUGGCCCAAAGGAGAUGAGAAUUUUCCUCACUGGGGCAGAUGCAAACCAAAACCUUCUUCAGAGAAGAUCCUCUUGCACAGUGCCCCAGACAAGUCCAUCUUGGUUCCCUUCUACAAUGUUACUCGGAGUUUGCCUUUCCUGGUGUGAGCCGUAUUUCCUUGUCUUGUCCCCGCAUAUCCAGGGCACAUUGGUCUAUCAGAAUGUCUUGUGGAACAAUCACAGGCAUAGUUCAUAGUUCAUUUAUUCCCACAUUGUAGCUGUUUGAGCUUUAAGACCACUUUGAAACAGGCUUCUCUAGGAUGCCUUUUUUUGUGAUGUCAGUGUAAGUUUUCUUCAUGCUUACUCGUCUCUGAUCUGAGCAAGUUUUAUCAAAGGCUGAAAAGCAGAAAGUUGUCCAGUCUUUGUACCGGUAGCUGGAUGUUCCUCUUGGCUAUCAGCAAGAGGAGUUGCAGAAAGGCAGUGUGUGUUGCAGGAAAUAAAGAAACUUAUUGACUGUGAAACAGGUGCAGAUAUCCCUAAAUCCAGUUUGCAUUAAGUGCGAUCAUUGAUUUAGAGCUCUAUAACUGGAGAUAUGAAUGUUCUAACAGCAAUGGCUUAAAACAGAAAAACAAACAACAACAAAAUACAAACAAAAACCCCCACCCCAAACAAACAA